GAAUUUUUGUCAGUUAGCAAACUUGAUUUUGUUUGGAUGCGGCAGCUCAAGAGGAAUUAAGCGUCGGAAGACAAGCAAAAAUACUAAUCUGAGCCUCGGGAGCAUGAUGCUUCGAAGAAAGCUUCAAGAAACCCGUUGGGAAGACGAGGAAGGGCCGUGAGAAGAAGCCAAACAACCAAAGUUUGCAUCUACUGAUCCUAACAAGGAUUCAACAAACCAACUCGAUGGAAAGAAGUUCCGGAAAUGUGUUUUGAAUUAAAUAAUGAAUUAAGUGUAGUGACAGUGACAGAAGAAUUUUGAAGACAAUAAAUUUAAUUUUUGAU